AGUGGCAGACGGGUGAGUAAUGUAUAGGAAUCUACCUAGUAGUACGGAAUAAUUGUUGGAAACGGCAACUAAUACCGUAUACGCCCUACGGGGGAAAAAUUUAUUGCUAUUAGAUGAGCCUAUAUUAGAUUAGUUAGUUGGUGAGGUAAAGGCUUACCAAGACAAUGAUCUAUAGCUGAUCUGAGAGGAUGAUCAGCCACACUGGAACUGAGAUACGGUCCAGACUCCUACGGGAGGCAGCAGUGGGGAAUAUUGGACAAUGGGCGAAAGCCUGAUCCAGCUAUGCCGCAUGAGUGAAGAAGGCCUUCGGGUUGUAAAGCUCUUUUAGUGAGGAAGAUAAUGACGGUACUCACAGAAGAAGUCCUGGCUAACUCCGUGCCAGCAGCCGUGGUAAUACGGAGAGGGCUAGCGUUAUUCGGAAUUAUUGGGCGUAAAGGGCGCGUAGGCGGAUUAGUAAGUUAAAAGUGAAGUCCCAAGGCUCAACCUUGGAAUUGCUUUUAAAACUGCUAAUCUAGAGAUUGAAAGAGGAUAGAGGAAUUCCUAGUGUAGAGGUGAAAUUCGUAAAUAUUANGAGGAACACCAGUGGCGAANGCGUCUAUCUGGGUUCAAUCUGANGCUGAGGCGCGAAGGCGUGGGGAGCAACAGGAUUANAUACCC
rnacentral:rRNA from 1 species